rnacentral:rRNA from 1 species
CCUACGGGGGGCAGCAGUGGGGGAUAUUGCACAAUGGGGGGAACCCUGAUGCAGCGACGCCGCGUGGGUGAAGAAGCGCCUCGGCGCGUAAAGCCCUGUCAGCAGGGAAGAAAAUGACGGUACCUGAAGAAGAAGCCCCGGCUAACUACGUGCCAGCAGCCGCGGUAAUACGUAGGGGGCAAGCGUUAUCCGGAUUUACUGGGGGUAAAGGGGGCGCAGACGGCGAUGCAAGCCAGGAGCGAAAGCCCGGGGCCCAAACCCGGGACUGCUCUUGGAACUGCGUGGCUGGAGUGCAGGAGGGGCAGGCGGAAUUCCUGGUGUAGCGGUGGAAUGCGUAGAUAUCAGGAGGAACACCGGUGGCGAAGGCGGCCUGCUGGACUGCAACUGACGUUGAGGCCCGAAAGCGUGGGGAGCAAACAGGAUUAGAUACCCUGGUAGUC